UACGGGGGGGGCAAGCGUUGUUCGGAAUUACUGGGCGUAAAGGGCUCGUAGGUGGCCAACUAAGUCGGACGUGAAAUCCCUCGGCUUAACCGGGGAACUGCGUCUGAUACUGGAUGGCUUGAGUUCGGGAGAGGGAUGCGGAAUUCCAGGUGUAGCGGUGAAAUGCGUAGAUAUCAGGAGGAACACCGGUGGCGAAGGCGGUUCUCUGGGCAUGUCCUGACGCUGAGGAGCGAAAGUGUGGGGAGCGAACAGG
rnacentral:rRNA from 1 species